UACGGGGGGGGCAAGCGUUGUUCGGAAUUAUUGGGCGUAAAGGGCGCGUAGGCGGUGCGGUAAGUCAUCUGUGAAAUCUCCCGGCUCAACUGGUAGCCUGCAGGCGAAACUGCCGUGCUGGAGUAUCGGAGAGGUGAGUGGAAUUCGCGGUGUAGCGGUGAAAUGCGUAGAUAUCGGGAGGAACACCUGUGGCGAAAGCGGCUCACUGGACGAUAACUGACGCUGAUGCGCGAAAGCUAGGGGAGCAAACCGG
rnacentral:rRNA from 1 species